rnacentral:rRNA from 1 species
CCCUUAGAUGUUCUGGGCCGCACGCGCGCUACACUGACGGGGACAACGAGUUUGCAACCUGCGCCGGUAGGUGUGGGUAAUCUUUUGAGCCCUCGUCGUGCUGGGGCUAGAUCUUUGUAAUUUUCGAUCUCAAACGAGGAAUUCCUAGUAAGCGUGAUUCAUCAGAUCGCGUUGAUUACGUCCCUGCCCUUUGUACACACCGCCCGUCGCUACUACCGAUUGAAUGGUUUAGUGAGGACUUCGGACUGGGACCGAUGCGGCUUUCGGGCUGCGUCGGUAUUCUGGAAAGAUGUCCAAACUGUAUCAUUUAGAGGAAGUAAAAGUCGUAACA